UCUAAUUGGAGGGGAAAUUAAAUUAGUGAGGGCAAGUGGGACGGACAAACCAAGGAAGGAAUUGAUUUUCAUUUUUUCCUUCUACCAUUUCUCAUCUUCCUUGGCUGGCUUUGAAUAAGAGAACUAGGGUCUAGGGAGAGUUUCGGUUGCAUGGUGAAUGAAAUAAGGAAUUAAAUUGUUCAAGUGAGAGUUCCAAGCUUGCAAGGAGGAGGAGGUACCAAUCGGCAAAAGGGAAGACUAAACUAGAAUAGGGGUCUAUUUUUUGCUCGUUGGGUUGGAAGCUUGGCGGAGAUAUCUCACACUAUCCUUCAACUCAUUUUAGUAUAUGUAACAAACUAAAUUUUGGUGAUAAUGACAUGUAUAGGUUGAAUUGGGCCAUUGAUGGCAUGUAUGUGUUUUGGUUGUAACUAGCCAUUGGAAUGGCUUGUGAUAGAUAUGUUUUGAUGAGUAUAUAAAAGUCUAUAUAUGGUUUACGUGUGUUUGAAAUAAAUAAGUGAUGGAAAUCAUAUAAAUA